ACCAGAGCAGUAAGUGGACGCUGAUGCUGCCGCUGCCUUGGGGACGGUAGUCAGGCUCCGAAACCUGCAGGUCUGAGAUUGGACAGCUGCAUCACUCAGGGAGCCAGGGCCUGGGCCUGCCCAAGAGGGAAUUGAGAAGGAAACUUCCAUUCAAAGCGUAGAAUUUAGAAGGGAGAGCCCUCCAGCGAAAGGAUGGGAUAAAACAAACACUCCACUUGCCAGCAACGGGAGAUGACAAAGAAAUGUAUCUUGCCAAAUCAAACAUUUCUACUCUAGCUUCCCUUUAGGUCACGGUCCUUCCCGUGGAUUCAAUCUUCUAAAACGUAAGUUCACAACCCUAAAUUACAGAAAUACACAAGGAACUUGUAGCCAUUGCUGCAGUCAGCAGAAACAACAAGAAAUUCAUUUAAUCCCCGCUAGCUUCGGAAAUGAAAUUGCUGACUGCAGAAUGCAAAAUGGCAGUGUUUUUAAAGCUUGGAAACAUAUUUGGAUGCAAACAUGAUAAAAGAAUAGAUGCAGACUUGAGAAAAGAGGCAAAUAGUCCUCUAGGAAUUGUAAUGUUCACAUUUAAAAUUUAGUUUAUGUGUUAAAUAGCAAAUUAGACUCACUCAAGUGAUAAUUAGCAAACUGCUCGAUAAAUCUGAAGAAAGUACCUUAAAUGCACUAUAUAAGGACACAUGAUUUGGAAAAUAGGAAAGAAAGUGGAAACGCAUGGAAGCCUUUGGCACUGCUAGCAUCUGGAGACAGAGGCAGGCUUGUGACUGGUAGAACGUGGAACCGAGUAUGGCAUAAAUCGUGUUCUGUGACAUCCAAGGCUAGGUUACAAAAGGUUGUGUAUUUUGCUUCCAUUUUGCUUGCCAGAAGACUGACUCUUGGAGCCCUGACUUGGCUCAGAAGAACUCUUAAUACCCCAAGGCCAUGUUUUGGGGAGUCCCAGACUCCCUGGAGAAUCCAGCCCCAGCUCUUGGGUGUCCGGCUCUCAGCUGUGUGAGUUUUUCCAGCUGAGGUACCAGGCAUUCGUGGAGCAGACACCGCCCCUCCCUGCUGUGUCCUGUCGGAAUUGCUAACCCACCGAAUAGAAUAAUACUGUUCGAAGUCACUAACUUGGAGGGGGAGCCAUGGUGAAGGGGCAUCGACAGAACAGCAAGAGGAUGAGAAGUUCUAACAUUCAUCCGAACGAAGUUCCGAAAGAAGACACUAGAAGGAAUGAGGAAGAUUCUUUAUUUAAAGAAAUAAAAGUUGAGAUAUUUCCACAGUUGUUCCAUGACAUGAAUCCCUGGGUCUCAGAAGUGUAAUGAAUCCCAGGCAGGAAAAAUAGAAGAAACGCAUAUUGUAAUGCGUCAAAUUAACAGAACACAAUUCACUGAUAAAACAGACAUUAAAAGCAGAGAUGAAUAUUGUUACAUCUCUCCUUUGUUCAUGGUUUCAUUAUCUAUGGUUAAAUGGAAAGUUCCAGAUAUAAAGAAUUCAUCGGGGCCAGCAUUGUUGGGCCACGGUGGAAGCUGCUGUCUGAAGUGCCAGCAUCCCAUGUCCUAACACUGAUCUGUCCUGGCUGCUCUGCCUUCCACCCAGCUCCCUGCUAAUGCACCUGGGAAAUCAGCAGAAGAUGGCUACGUGCUUGGACCCCUGCCAGCCAUAUAUAGAUCCCAACAGAGUUCCUGGCUGCUGACUUCGGCCUGAUCAAGCCCUGACCACUGCAGCCAUUUGGGGAGUGAAUCAGUACAUAAUACCCUGCCUUCCGUUACUCAGUAUCAGCCUUGGUCAUCAGAGUUAAUGCCACAAUAUUGCAUCAUGUGUGUGCAAGUAACCCUUAUUUUACUUACUAAAGGCCCCAAGCAUAAAUUUUAUUAGGGUAUAUUGUCAUAUGUUGUUAUUAAUCUUGUACCGUAUCCAAUCUAUAAAUUAAACUUUAUCAUCGGUAUGUGUGUAUAGGAAAAAAAUAGUAUUUUUAAGAGUUGGCUCUCCAGGUUCUCAGGCAUUUGAAACCAGGUUGUUUUACAACCUAUUUCUCAUGGAGAAAAAGUGACUGUUGUACUUACCACGUAAGUUAGUUGGUAUGAUUGAACUGGUUGGUAUAGUUAAAAGCUGGAAACAUCCUACCUGGUCGUCUACAGAGAGAUUUAUAAAUUCAUUACAUUAACAUUACUUUAUUACAUUAAUGAAAAGCUACCCAUACUAUUUAGCAGCAAAAUUAUACAGGAGCUAUGUAUAUUGAUGUGAAUCAGUCUCUGAAAAAAAUGUUUGGCAUUUACAUAGUGUUUAUCUUUUUAGAUUUAUUUAUUUGAAAGAGUUAUAGAGAGGUGGGGGGGCGCUCUUCCAUUCCAAUGGUUCACUCCCCAAAUGGCCACAACAGCCAGAGCUGGGCCAAUCCAAAGUCAGGAGCCAGGAGCUUCUUCUGGGUCUCCCACAUAGGUGCAGGGACCCAAAGACUUGGACCAUCCUCCACUGCUUUCUCAGGCCAUAGCAGAGAGCCAGACCAGAAAUGGAGCAGCCAGGCCUUGAACUGGCACUGCAGGCAGCAGCCUCAUCCACUGUGCCUCAGCACUGGCCUCUACAUAAUAUUUAAAAAUUUAAGAAACUAUACAGGUGUCUCUGUGUAUAUACUUUAGCAAUCCAUGUGUGUGUAAAGUGCAAAGGCAUUUUUUCAUGAUAAAUGUUAAAAUCAAUAUAAUGGGGGAAGAAGCAGGAAUAGAAUCAGGAAGGAGUGUACUGCUUGGAGGGAAUACAUACUGAGUCUGAAAGGAUGUGGAGGUUAGAGGUGAAGAGUAUUCAGUACUGUGGUCCUGAGUCUGAAAGGACUUGGAGGUUAGAGGUGAAGAGUACUGAGUACUGGAGUACUGAGUCUGAAAGGACGUGGAGGUUAGAGGUGAAGAGUACUCAGUACUGGAGUACUGAGUCUGAAAGGACGUGGAGGUUAAAGAUUGAGUACUGGGUACAGGAGUACUGAGUCUGAAAGGACGUGGAGGUUAGAGGUGAAGAGUACUCAGUACUGUUGUUCUGAGUCUGAAAGGACGUGGAGGUUAGCAAUGAAGAGUACUGAGUACAGGAGUACUGAGUCUGAAAGGACGUGGAGGUUAGCAAUGAAGAGUACUGAGUACAGGAGUACUGAGUCUGAAAGGACGUGGAGGUUAGAGGUGAAGAGUACUCAGUACUGUUGUUCUGAGUCUGAAAGGACGUGGAGGUUAGAGGUGAAGAGUACUCAGUACAGGAGUACUGAGUCUGAAAGGACGUGGAGGUUAGAGAUUGAGUACUGGGUACAGGAGUACUGAGUCUGAAAGGACGUGGAGGUUAGAGGUGAAGAGUACUCAGUACAGGAGUACUGAGUCUGAAAGGACAUGGAGGUUAGAGAUUAAGAGUACUCAGUACAGGAGUACUGAGUCUGAAAGGACGUGGAGGUUAGAGGUGAAGUGAAGUCUCCUUUCCUGUAGGUUUAGGUGAGUGGUUGAAUGCACAGGCAGAAGAUCAAGCUGCCUGUACAGUCAGUUCUAUGUGGGAGAUUUGAG